rnacentral:rRNA from 1 species
AUGCCUCCCCCGCUGCUCGUCUUCGUUUGCCUCGUCCCGUUCGUUCUUCUUGGCGCGCCAUGGCCGUCCGAUGCGGGGGCGAGGCCGCAGCUUUUCGCGCUGCGGGCGCGCCAGAUGCCGGCCAGGGCGCUGCCGCGGCAGCCCAACAAGCUGCGGUUCCACCACAACGUCAGCCUCACCGUCUCGCUCGCCGUCGGCACGCCGCCGCAGAACGUCACCAUGGUUCUCGACACCGGCAGCGAGCUGUCCUGGCUGCUCUGUGCGCCGGCCGGCGGCAGGAACAGGUACAAUGCGACGUCCUUUCGGCCGAGGUCCUCGGCCACCUUCGCCACCGUGCCCUGCGCCUCCGCGCAGUGCCGCUCCCGCGACCUGCCGUCGCCAUCGGCCUGCGACGGGGCGUCGAGCAGGUGCAGCGUGUCGCUCUCCUACGCGGACGGCUCCUCCUCCGACGGCGCGCUCGCGUUCGGCUGCAUGGCAUCCGCGUUCGACUCCUCCCCGGACGGCGUGGCGAGCGCCGGGCUGCUGGGCAUGAACAGGGGCGCCCUCUCCUUCGUCUCGCAGGCCAGCACCCGCCGCUUCUCCUACUGCAUCUCCGACCGCGACGACGCCGGCGCGGCCACCACGGGGCGGCCAGGCGCGGGCGCGGCCACCGCGGGCCGGCGCGGCCACCGUGGGGCGGCCAGGCCUCGCCUCUCCGCGCCCAGCCGCUGCGAGCUUCCCUGCCUCCUGCGUGUUUGA